UGGGGAAUUGUUCGCAAUGGGCGCAAGCCUGACGACGCAACGCCGCGUGGAGGACGAAGAUCUUCGGGUCGUAAACUCCUGUCGAGCGGGAAGAACGCUUUCCGGGUGAAUAAUCCGGGAAGGUGACGGUACCGCUAAAGGAAGCCCCGGCUAACUCCGUGCCAGCAGCCGCGGUAAUACGGGGGGGGCAAGCGUUGUUCGGAAGUACUGGACGUAAAGGGCUCGUAGGCGGCCAACUAAGUCGGAUGUGAAAUCCCCAGGCUUAACCUGGGAACUGCAUCCGAUACUGGAUGGCUUGAAUCCGGGAGAGGGAUGCAGAAUUCCAGGUGUAGCGGUGAAAUGCGUAGAUAUCUGGAGGAAUACCGGUGGCGAAGGCGGCAUCCUGGACCGGCAUUGACGCUGAGUGAGCGAAAGCCAGGGGAGCAAAC
rnacentral:rRNA from 1 species